rnacentral:tRNA from 1 species
GGGGAUGUAGCUCAGCAGUACAGAGCCUGCCUGGUAAGUGCAAGGCCCUGAGUUCAAUUCCUGGUACCCCCC